rnacentral:tRNA from 1 species
AAGGGAGACCUAAUUCCGGUAGGAGACGAAAAAAAAGUAGUCCCAACCAAGAAUCAAUCCCAAAAGGUCGGAACGAGGUAUGAGGCUUUCAAACUAGGUUCUGGGUUCAUAAAAGACCUGAAUCAGGAACAAGGGCUAUUAGCUCAGGUGGUUAGAGCGCACCCCUGAUAAGGGUGAGGUCCCUGGUUCGAGUCCGGGAUGGCCCACCUGCACAGGUGGCAAAAACAAGAGAAGCUCCGAAUCAGCACCUUAUCUUAUAUACAUAUAUAAGAGAGAAUGCUGGCUCUGAGUACAGAGUCCAGAGGAACCUUGAAAACUGCAUAGAGCUAGGUGAAAAAGCCAAAAAAGAAGACCGCAA